CCAGGGCCCACCUGAAGGCGCACAUGAGAACUCACACAGGAGAAAAACCUUUCAGCUGCUCAGUUUGUAAUACAUCUUUUACACAGAGAGGACAUUUACAGUCACACAUGGCAGUCCACACAGGAGA